CCAUAGUAUCACUAAUUUAUGAUACAUAUUUCCUGCAGUCAUGUCCACUUGUCACUAGAGGUCAGAGGCUGGGGUUUCAGUUCAGUUUUUUCACUAAUUUUCUCAGCCCUUUUCAUCUCACUGCCUGGAUCAUGGCUUCUUCAUCUGAAUUAUGGGAACAGGGCAUCAGUAACAUUUUUUGAGUACUUGUGUGUCCAACACUCUAAUUAUAAAGUGCUUUAUAUGGAUCUCUUCAAAUAUUUUUUCAUAACAGCUAUGGAUGGCUACUGAUAAAAUAUGUUUCUUUUUGGUUAAAGAUACAGAGGCUCAGAGGAGUCAUGUGCCUUUGCCAAGGUUUUACUAGUAAGUCGCAGAGCUUGGAUUCAAAUCCAGACACUGAUUUCAGAGGGUGCACUUUUAUCCACUAUAAAUACUAUUUACUAAGCAUGUCUUAGGGGCAUGCCAUGAAAACAAAGUAUCAGGUAUUCACAAAUUAAUGUGAAAUGAUUAUCAGUGAGUGGUCUACAAUUUCAAUUUAGGGAUUCACUAAAUGCAUCCAGACCUACAGGGAAGAAAUGAUUAGCACAGAGUCAACUGCUUAAUCAAUUAAGGAAAAAAAAAAAAAAAAGAGAGAGUGAGGAAGAGAUGCCUUUAAAAAACAUGUGCUUCCAGUUGAGAGAAGGAAAAGUAUUAAAUCUUUAAAUCAGUUCUAUAUGAAAACUAUGCAACACACAAAAUUGAGCUAUGGCAUGUCACGACACACAGGUAAGUUGUUUAAUUAGACCAAUGGUAUUUCAUAGUCUUCAUAGUCCCCACCACAUGUCACAGAUGAACUAGGGAGGAAUACAAGCUUACAUCCUGAUUGCUGCUGCUGCUGCUAAGUCGCUUCAGUCGUGUCCAACUCUGUGCGACCCAAUGGACGGCAGCCCACCAGGCUCCCCCGUCCCUGGGAUUCUCCAGGUAAGAACACUGGAGUGGGUUGCCAUUUCCUUCUCCAAUGCAUGAAAGUACUCUUCAAAUGUCACAAUAUACAUUAUUGUAUAUAUAGUAACAAUAUUUUGUACAAUAUACAAAAAAAAUCAUAGAUUUUUUUCAUGAAAAUAUGAAUCAACCAGUUAAAGGUGAUUAAUGGCUUUUCUCUUUUUUUCCCCCCAGCAAUCUCAGGUAGUACUAGGAAUUGGGUAAUUUUCAUAUAUAUCUAGUAGUGUACUUUGCUCCUAAACUAGUCUUUUAUUUCAACUUCCUUGGUCCAAAAUGAAAAAACAUGCAUAAAUAUAUAUCUAUUUGAUUGCAAACAACAAGAUCCAGUCUAGCCUGAAAGCACUAAAAUUCAGCUUCUUUGAGUGAACAAUUAAAUAUUGAUACUUAGUCACGUAAACUGAGAAAGGAAAGGGAAAAGUGUUAAAUACAAAAUCAAACAUCUUAGGAUCCAAAAACCACAUCUAACCUGAUUCUUGGGUUGUAAAUUUUACUACGUUACUAAAUUGAUUGCCAUUUCCAACUUUAGUAAAGGCAGUUAUACUGAUGGAAUAGGUGCUGACUGGUUCCAGUCCAACAAGCUUGGCUUCAGUUUGAAAACCUGAAAUAUUCUGAAAAGCAGGAAAAAAAAAAAAAAAACCUCUUAGUUACAGUGCAGCAUUAAAAAACUUAUUUAUAAUUGGAAGAAAUAUUUUUAAUACAUAAAAAUUAUGUCUUCUGUAUUUAACCUAUGAUUUAAUAAGCAUGGGUAUUUUUAAUUAAAAAUUCAAAAAUUAAACAGUUUUUGUGUGUGCCCCAGGGUAUGCUCAGGUACAAGGUUGAACUGGACACCCAUCAACACUGAAGAAAAGCAUAAUUGCCAUUGGUUUUUAAAGCUGAAGUAUUUUGUUUUUAUUUUGUCUGUCUGAUUUUUACUUAGAAUUACAUAUGAUUACUUCCUUUAAAUCUGCUAAAAUUAAAGUCCUCAAUUGGAAUCCAACUUAUGAGCAGUCAGUGGUACUUUAUUUUUCUUGAAUUCAUCAAAAUUCAUUUUUUAGUUCUCAGUAACAUUCUCUUUGUAAAUUAAUGUAUUCAUCAGCUGUUAUAUGCGAGGAACUGGGAACACAGCAGUGCAUGAAACAACCUCUGCUCCUAUGAAGCUAAGCUUCAGAAAUUAUGAGAUUUUCCCAGACAAUUCCUAAAUUUCUAAUUUUAUUCAAUCUCUUAGGAAAAUGAAAAAACAAACAAAACAAUUAUCACAGAUAUACCAAAAAGGAUAUGGUGUCUCACAGAAAAUUUUACCAUCAAAUACAAAGACUUCAUUCAAAGAGGACUGUUCUAACAGAAAGAGCACUUAAGAUUAAUAGUUAUCCUAUGGGGAAAAAAAGACAACCUCUUAUGUGGUAUAAUUUUAAGAAUACUGUAUUAUAUCUGAUCCAAAAUAUAAACCAGUUUGACUUAUACAUUAAACAUUUCAGUGGCAGAAAUUUAGCAAGAAUACUAACUCUCGGGGCAUUCAUAGUUAGAAUCAUAUUUUAAAUUAAUCUCUUACAAGUUAUUGAUAUCCUUUAUGAAUUCACUGUUAUACAAUUUUCUUUCAUUCUUUCUUAAUUACUAUUUACAACGCACAUGGUUAGAUAACCAGGAGAUUAUAAAGAUAUAUAAGACCUGGUCCCUGUCAUCCAGCAACUGUUAUAUUCAUUAGAAAAAUCUACCAACAACUGUAUACGGAGAAAAAAAUUAAACACAAGCAGAUAAAUUUUGACUUGGGUUAGGAGGGGGUGAGUGAGUAUGCAGAGAAAUGACUGAACUCAAGAUAUUAUAAUAAAAUAUAGUGAGUAGCUUAUUGGAUAGUAGAUAGUAGCUUAUUGGAUAGUAGACAGACUGACAAAGUAAACUGUAAAAGGGAGAGAUGAGUAAGGAAUAUUUUCAAACAUAUUUUUAGCAGAACUUUCUCUUUCAGUACGUGUGAGUGACCUGACUGGGACGGCAGGAACAUUUGGAGCGGUCCAAGAGUUACUAUGCCUCCACAGACGCACAUAUCACUGGGAAGCAGAAAAGACACACUUAUAACAUUAGAAGAAAAAGCCACUAUGGAGAAUGAAGUUGAAGCUCAUUUAUACACUUAUAAACCAUCCUCUUGAAGCCAACAUAAGGAAUUAGGAUCCCGAAGACAAGAUGAGGGACUGUACUUAAGCUGGAGGAGAAAGAUUUCAACCACUAAGAAUGAACACAAAUCCCUCAGACCAGAAUAAAGAGUUUGGGUAUUAUUCCAAGAGUAAAGUCAAGUCCUUUGAAUGUGUUCUCCUGGGUUUAAUCUUUCGGUGAAUGAUUAAAAUAAAAUUUAAAAGUCCCAUUUAAAAUGAGAUGCAUUCUUCUCUCCAGAUAGAUAGAUAAAUAGAUGGAUAGACAGAUCCUUAUUUAAGCCUCAAGUCUCCAUGUAUCUGGUCCGCCCACCCUUCUAGUUUCAUCCCUCUCCACUUGCUUCCUCUGCCAUUAUAUUCAAGACACAAGGCUAUCUCGCUAUUGCCCACACGAAGCUUCUUGCUGUUAACCACACGUGAUGAAAUUAUUUAAGUUCCUAUAUCCAGUUGGUGUAGCCCUGGACUUCUCAGCUAAAUAUAUCAUUGUUUUGUUUAAGACAAUUUAAGUUGGGCACUAUAACUUGAAAUUAAAAGAAUCCUGGCUAACACUUAUUCCCAUACUUUAGUAUUUUCUCAUAUUCCUUGAUCCUGAUUAUUUCCACCAUCAUCACUCCUUGUUGAACAAGCUCACUUUUUGUCUAUUUACCAUUUAAACUGGGGAACCAGUAAUUCAACUGAUUUACACAUAAAACUGUAUGAUUAUUCUCUCAUCAGGGAUAAAGUCCAUCAACUGUAUGUGUGUUGGUUGCUUAGUCCUGUCUGAUUCUUUGCAACCCCAUGGACUGUAGCCUGCCAGGCUCCUCUGUCCAUGGGAUUCUCCAGGCAAGAAUACUGGACUGGGUUGUCAUUCCCUUCUCCAGAGGAUUUUCCCAACCCAGGGAUCAAACCCAGGUCUCCUGCAUUGUGGGCAGAUUCUUUACCAUCUGAACCACCAAGGAUAAAGCCCAUCAACUAAUGUAGACCAAUAUUAAGCCAGUGAUUUUUUUCAGUAGAAAUAUGCCAUAAGAGUUAAUUCACUAGAGUUUAAUCUACCAUAACUCCAUUAGUCUUUAUCACAAAUACUGUUAUCAAACUAAGACUUCUCUAAUCCUAUAAGUAUACUGUUGAGUUUUUAGAACAAAGGCCAAUAUAGAGAGCUGUCAUAGCUCAGUCAGUAAAGAACAUGCCUGCAGCACAGGAGACCAGGGUUCAAUCCCUGGGUGGGGAAGAUCCCCUGGAGAAGGAAAUGGCAACCCACUCCAGUAUUCUUGCCUGGAAAAUCCCAAGGACAGAGGCUACAAUCCAUGGGGUUACAAGAGUCAGACACGACUUAGCAACUAAACCAUCUAGUGAUUUGGAAAAAGCAUGAUUUGGGCUUAAUACAGAUCUAGUUAUGAUUCCAGCUCUAUCAUCUUCUAGGUUUGUAACUUUAAGCAACACUUUAACUUCAUCAAGACUUAAUUUCCACAACUAUAAAAUGGUGAUAAUAUUCUUUGCUCUAUGGCAUUGUUGUGAAAAACAAAUAAGGAUAUAUAGGGAAGAUACCAAACACAA